UACGUAGGGUGCGAGCGUUGUCCGGAAUUAUUGGGCGUAAAGAGCUCGUAGGCGGUCUGUCGCGUCGGUCGUGAAAACUUGGGGCUUAACCCUGAGCUUGCGGUCGAUACGGGCAUGACUGGAGUUCGGCAGGGGAGACUGGAAUUCCUGGUGUAGCGGUGAAAUGCGCAGAUAUCAGGAGGAACACCGGUGGCGAAGGCAAUCCCCUGGGCCCUGCAAGCUCGACGCUCAUGCACGAAAGCGUGGGGAGCAACAGG
rnacentral:rRNA from 1 species